CGUUGUGGCGGAAUGGUAGACGCACUAGACUCAAAAUCUGGCGAGUUUUCUCGUGUGGGUUCGAAUCCCACCAAC
rnacentral:tRNA from 1 species